rnacentral:rRNA from 1 species
UACGUAAGGUGCGAGCGUUGUCCGGAAUUACUGGGCGUAAAGAGCUCGUAGGUGGUUUGUCGCGUUGUUCGUGAAAUCUCACGGCUUAACUGUGAGCGUGCGGGCGAUACGGGCAGACUAGAGUACUGCAGGGGAGACUGGAAUUCCUGGUGUAGCGGUGGAAUGCGCAGAUAUCAGGAGGAACACCGGUGGCGAAGGCGGGUCUCUGGGCAGUAACUGACGCUGAGGAGCGAAAGCGUGGGGAGCGAACAGG